GGGGUAAUGGCCCACCAAGGCAACGACGGGUAGCUGGUCUGAGAGGAUGGUCAGCCACACUGGGACUGAGACACGGCCCAGACUCCUACGGGAGGCAGCAGUGGGGAAUCUUGGGCAAUGGAGGGAACUCUGACCCAGCGACGCCGCGUGCGGGAUGAAGGCCUUCGGGUUGUAAACCGCUUUCAGCAAGGAAGAAGCGAAAGUGACGGUACUUGCAGAAGAAGCACCGGCUAACUAUGUGCCAGCAGCCGCGGUAAUACAUAGGGUGCAAGCGUUGUCCGGAAUUAUUGGGCGUAAAGAGCUCGUAGGUGGUUCGUCACGUCGGAUGUGAAAAUCUGGGGCUUAACCCCAGACCUGCAUUCGAUACGGGCGAGCUAGAGUGUGGUAGGGGAGACUGGAAUUCCUGGUGUAGCGGUGGAAUGCGCAGAUAUCAGGAGGAACACCAAUGGCGAAGGCAGGUCUCUGGGCCAUUACUGACACUGAGGAGCGAAAGCGUGGGGAGCGAACAGGAUUAGAUACCCUGGUAGUCCACGCCGUAAACGGUGGGCACUAGGUGUGGGACCUACUCAACGGGUUCCGUGCCGCAGCUAACGCAUUAAGUGCCCCGCCUGGGGAG
rnacentral:rRNA from 1 species